GGUAACCAUUAUGUCUAUAUAACCCUGCCCACCUAGCUGCUGUGGAUUGGUCCAAAGAUGACACACAUUGGGCCAAUGAGCCAUUCCCUUGGGGAAUUGGAAGAAAUAAUGGAUUCCAGCCUUGGUCUACCUCUCAUUUGAAAGAAGGAGACGUUAACUCAGGAAAGAUUGGUAGCUACUUUCUGCCACAUGACCUGGGAAGUGGAGAAGGCAGGGAAGCAUGAAGCAGAUAGAUUCACCAAAAAGAAACAGGUGAUGUCAGGAGAAACAGGAGAGAAUUCAUGUCAGAAAGAAUCUGAGAGCGUUCUUCCAAUGCC
rnacentral:lncRNA from 1 species